GAUGAACGCUAGCUACAGGCUUAACACAUGCAAGUCGAGGGGCAGCGGUAUCGAAAGCUUGCUUUCGGUAGCCGGCGACCGGCGCACGGGUGAGUAACGCGUAUCGAACCUGCCUCAUACUCGGGAAUAGCCUUGCGAAAGUAAGAUUAAUGCCCGGUGUUUUCAGAGUCCCGCAUGAGGCUUUGAACAAAGAUUUAUCGGUAUGAGAUGGCGAUGCGUCCCAUUAGCUUGUUGGCGGGGUAACGGCCCACCAAGGCAUCGAUGGGUAGGGGUUCUGAGAGGAAGGUCCCCCACAUUGGAACUGAGACACGGUCCAAACUCCUACGGGAGGCAGCAGUGAGGAAUAUUGGUCAAUGGGCGGAAGCCUGAACCAGCCAAGUAGCGUGCAGGAAGACGGCCCUCCGGGUUGUAAACUGCCUUUAGUUGGGAAUAAAACGGGGCUCGUGAGCCCCCUUGCAUGUACCAUCAGAAAAAGGACCGGCUAAUUCCGUG
rnacentral:rRNA from 1 species